AUGCGACUUUUUUUACCAUAUGGCUGCUCUCCUUCUCAAAUAUUUUCAAAUGACUUGUCAAGUUCCCAUUUUCUAUUGAAAAUAAUAAAUGAUUAUGACCAAUUUGUUAGCCUAAUUUUAGAAAAUCUGCUUACGCAUGAACACUGCUUGAUUAAGCGCGUUAGAAAUAAAAGCAAUACUUCGUUUGGCAUAUUAAAUAGUAAAAGCGAAGGUUAUAACGAUGGUACUAGCCACACUCGUAACGGUUCGUGCAGAAAAUCAACACCAAACAAAACUCAUUACAUCGGUGAGCAAAACGAGCAGUUGAACACACACAGACGACUGUUCCAUUUUUUGCUUAAAAAAAAAUGUAUACCAAAAGAAUUAAAAAAAAAAAUAACAUUUGACACUCUAGUUGCGACUGUAUUAGUGUAUAAAGACUUUUAUUUACGUUCCUUACAAAAUAGUAAUUUUUUUUUUUUAUCGACUGAACAUGUUCAGCUGUUAAAAAUCAUUUAUCAUUUAUAUUUCAAAACAGAAAAAGGAGAUAAUUUAAAAAAAAAAAAAAAAAAAAAAAACUUUUUAUCAAAAUAUGAAACAAUACUUAACAACACAUGUUACAUAAUCAAACUGUUUAAUAGUAUAGUGCCUUAUAAUAAAAAAUAUAAACACAAAUGUGACUUUCCGAAAGUAAACACUGUUGGUAGUAUUAAAAAAGUAAGAGUUAAACAAACGAACAAACAAUGGCUAAUAAAUAUAGAAACUUCAAUUUUAAACAUUUUGAAAUUGGUAUACUCUAAAAAGGAUGCGAAACGAAAACAAAUACGAAUGCAUAAUGAUGCUCAUAAUAGUAUAACAAACGGACAUAGUGGACGAAUGAACUCUAUUGUUAUAGACUUGCCUAUCGAAGAAGAUACUUUUAAAAAUAAAAAGCAGCUACAUAUUUCUCGUUCUAGUGAUAAUAAAUUAAGUAGUACUGUAGAUAUAAUAUAUAUACACCCUUUGUAUAUUCCAAAACAAGAAAACAUAUUUAAUUACAUGAGCACGUUUGAAGAAGAAGUGUGUUUUUUUUAUAAAAACAGUGCUACAUUGCGAGUAUUAGUUAAGCACUUGUUUUAUUUGUGUUUUUUGUUCCCUACUUUAGCUAUAUAUUUGUUCAGGGUGUUAUGCAUAAAUAAAAAAUUUUUUAAUUUUUUGUUAGAGCUGUUUGUGCUGACUGAUAGGAAAAGCAUGUGCAGACCCACUAGUCACACUACAAAUACAGCUAUUUACCCGAAUACCAUACAAAGCAGUAAUAACGACGUUAAAUAUAUAUGCAACACCUCAAACGCUAGCAACACUUCAAACGCUAGCAACACCUCAAACGCUAGCAACACCUCAAACGCUAGCAACACCUCAAACGCUAGCAACACUUCAAACGCUAGCAACACAGAACGAACAACAAAAGUGGUCUCGAACGAAACGUGUCAAGAGUUAAGCCAAUUAUAUAUAAAAAAAAAAAAUAACAAAUUAAUGAAAAAAUGUUAUAUAGUAUUUUUUGAGGUAUAUUAUUAUAUAUUAAAUAUUUAUAUUAAUGUACUAUUGGAAAAAUUAAAAACAAACGAACUGAUAGAUUAUUAUAAUUUUAUUUAUUUAUUUAAAUGUAUUAAUUUAUUUAUCAAUAAUAUAUUUGUGUUAUCACUUUGUUCGACCGUUGUUAUUAUUCAUGGUGAAAAAAAAAUUGUAUCAGGGGUUGUACAACUAGCCGUAGGGGAUGAAAACGAAAAGGGUGCAGAACGAGCAGAACUAAUAACACGGACAGAACGAGCAGAACCAAUAGCACGGACAGAACGAGCAGAACCAAUAGCACGGACAGAACGAGCAGAACCAAUAGCACGGACAGAACCAAUAGCACCGACAGAACCAAUAGCACGGACAGAAAAACAAAACAGUCAUACAAAUAAAAAAAUAAAAUUUAUACAUAAACAAAACAAAGUUUUUUUGUCUAAAAAAAUGUCAAAAACAUUUUAUUUAGCUCAUAAUAUUUUAAUAAAUGUAUAUCAUUUUAUAAUUAUUUUGGUUUUUUAUUAUAAUAGACAUGAAUGGGUGUUACAUUUUUAUAAAAACGAGAGUUUGUGGAAAGUGCUGGGGGAGUCUAACAAGAGCACUGGCGAUGUUUUCAGUCGCAGUUAUAGCCACAGCAGCAGUAAAGAAAAUAACAGUGAAGAAAGCAAUUACGAUGGUAAAACCUUGUCGUUUGUAAAUUACUUCCACGACCAACAGAAUAAGGCAAAACUGUUAACAAUAAAUGGUGUCACUUUAUAUAUGUUUAUCGAUUACGAACUAGUUAAGAAAAUUUUUUAUUUUUAUAUAAACAUGAUAAAAAAUAAUAAAAAAAAAGGAAAACAGAGCGAGACCAACCGAAUGGGUAUAAAUUAUAAUCUCGAUUGUAAUAAUAGAAGUAUCAUAUAUGAAUUACUUAUAUCAACAAAUACUUUUUAUUGCAAAAAUAACAAUCAAAUUUUUAACAUUUUUUUACAUUUAUAUAACUAUGUGGACGACAUAUAUACAAAAGAAAUGAAAAAAUACAUUAUAUUUAAUCAAAUUCAGGAGAAUAAAGAUACGCAGUUGACUUUUUAUAUUAACAAUUCGCGUAUUAUGGGUAUUCAUUUUUUAAAGUAA
ensembl:lncRNA